rnacentral:rRNA from 1 species
AUGGGCGUCACCAAGGCACCGGCGAUUUGGUCAGUCGGCGUGGUGGUUGCAGCGUUCAUCGUCGCAGCUCAAGGAUCGCCGUCGUCGAGUGCCCGCCGCCCCUAUAGUCUCUUCGAAGACGACGGACUGAGUAGACGUCAUGGUCAACGUCACUACGAUUUCGUGAUAAAGGAGAGCAACUACACGAGGCUCUGCCGUGAAAAGACCAUCCUCACCGUCAACGGCGAGUUCCCCGGCCCGACCAUCUACGCGAGGAAGGGCGACGUCGUCGUUGUCAACGUCUUCAACCAGGGCCAUAAGAACAUCACCCUCCACUGGCACGGGGUGAACCAGCCGCGAAGUCCGUGGUGGGACGGGCCGGAGUACAUAACGCAGUGCCCGAUCCAGCCCGGCGGCAACUUCAGCUACCGGAUCAUCUUCUCCGAGGAGGAAGGCACGCUGUGGUGGCACGCGCACACCGCCAUGGAUCGCGACACCGUGCAUGGCGCCAUCGUCAUACGCCCCCGGCGCGGCACGACCUACCCAUUCAGCAAACCGCACAGAGAGAUACCCAUCAUCCUCGGGGAAUGGUGGAACGACGACAUCGGGCAAGUGCUCGCCGACGCCAUCUCCACCGGCAGCGACUUCCAGUCUUCAGACGCGAACACCAUCAACGGUCAGCCGGGUGACCUGUUCGCUUGCUCCGGCAACGGCACCUUUAGGCUGCCAGUCAAGCACGGCAAGACCUACAUGAUCCGGAUCAUCAACGCGGCCCUCACCAACGGAUUCUUCUUCGCCGUCGCCGGGCACCGCCUCACCGUGGUCGGCUCCGACGCUUCCUACACCAAGCCGUUCAGCGCCGACCACGUAUUCAUCGACGCCGGCCAAACGGUGACCGCGCUGCUCAAGGCCCGCCGUGGCCGCUCAAACGCCCGGCACUUCUACAUGGCGUCGAGGCCGCUGGCGACCAACCCGCAGGCCACCGUCGACAGCAGCACGGCCACCGCCGUCCUGGAAUACGUCGACGCUCCCGCGGCGCCGGGCGAUGCGGCGCAUGGUCUCCCCAGCCUUCCCGCCAUCAACGACAGCUCCGCGGCGGCCGCGUUCACGGCGCGGCUCAGGUCGCUGGCCAGCAAGGGGCACCCGGCCGACGUGCCCCGGCGCGUCGACGAGCACAUGCUCGUCACGGUGGAGGUGAACGAGAUCGCGUGCGCGCCCGGCGAGGUGUGCAAGGGGCCCCACGGCAACCGCUUCGCGUCGAGCCUCAACAACGUGAGCUUCGAGAUGCCGCGGAGCGACGUGCUCGGGGCCUACUACCGCUCCGCCGUCGGCGGCGUGGCCAGGACCGACUUCCCCGACAACCCGCCGUCGCCCUUCAACUUCACGGCCGACGACCUGCCCCCGGAGCUCGCGCUGACCGCGAGAGGCACGAGGGUGAAGGUCCUGGAGUACGGCGCCGUCCUGGAGGUGGUGCUGCAGGGCACGACCAUCCUCGGCGGCGACAGCCAUCCCAUGCACCUGCACGGGUUCAGCUUCUACGUGGUGGGGAGAGGGACUGGCAACUUCGACAAGCGCACGGACCCGGCCAAGUACAACCUGGUCGACCCGCCGUACCAGAACACCGUCUCCGUGCCCAAGAACGGAUGGGUCGCAAUCCGCCUCCGUGCAGAAAACCCUGGCGUAUGGUUCAUGCACUGUCAUUUCGAGCGCCACAUGGUGUGGGGGAUGGAGACGGUGUUCAUUGUGAAGAACGGCAAGGGACCAAAUGCCAAGAUCAUGCCACCGCCUCCAAAUAUGCCCAGGUGUUGA